rnacentral:rRNA from 1 species
GACGAACGCUGGCGGCGUGCUUAACACAUGCAAGUCGAGCGAUGAAGCACCUUCGGGUGUGAAUUAGCGGCGAACGGGUGAGGAACACGUGAGAAAUCUGCCUUCAACACUGGGAUAACUCCGGGAAACCGGGGCUAAUACCGGAUAUGAAAUCUGCGGGCAUCCGCGGAUUUGGAAAGUUUUUCGGUUGAAGAUGAUCUCGCGGCCUAUCAGCUUGUUGGUGAGGUAAUGGCUCACCAAGGCGACGACGGGUAGCCGGCCUGAGAGGGCGACCGGCCACACUGGGACUGAGACACGGCCCAGACUCCUACGGGAGGCAGCAGUGGGGAAUCUUGCGCAAUGGGCGAAAGCCUGACGCAGCCAUGCCGCGUGAAUGAUGAAGGUCUUAGGAUUGUAAAAUUCUUUCACCGGGGACGAUAAUGACGGUACCCGGAGAAGAAGCCCCGGCUAACUUCGUG